AUUGAACGCUGGCGGCAGGCCUAACACAUGCAAGUCGAGCGGAUGAAGGGAGCUUGCUCCUGGAUUCAGCGGCGGACGGGUGAGUAAUGCCUAGGAAUCUGCCUGGUAGUGGGGGAUAACGUCCGGAAACGGGCGCUAAUACCGCAUACGUCCUGAGGGAGAAAGUGGGGGAUCUUCGGACCUCACGCUAUCAGAUGAGCCUAGGUCGGAUUAGCUAGUUGGUGGGGUAAAGGCCUACCAAGGCGACGAUCCGUAACUGGUCUGAGAGGAUGAUCAGUCACACUGGAACUGAGACACGGUCCAGACUCCUACGGGAGGCAGCAGUGGGGAAUAUUGGACAAGGGGCGAAAGCCUGAUCCAGCCAUGCAGCGUGUGUGAAGAAGGUCUUCGGAUUGUAAAGCACUUUAAGUUGGGAGGAAGGGCAGUAAGUUAAUACCUUGCUGUUUGGACGUUACCAACAGAAUAAGCACCGGCUAACUUCGU
rnacentral:rRNA from 1 species